GAUCAAGAUAAAAUUAUUGGCAGAUGCUCUACAUUUGUAUGAUUGCACUUCCGAUUUGCGAUUUCUGUUAAUGAAAGCUUAUAGAGCUCAGCAAAACAAGGAUAAGAGCAAACCAUGUGCUAAAAUGAUGCAGAAAAUGAGUCAUGCAGAGGUUGAGGUGACCACAGAAACAUCAGAGACAAGACAAAACCGCAGAAAGAGCUGUGUUAUGCUUCAAUCCAUCAUAUGAAAACAUCAAAGGAUGUAUACUCUGCUUGGGAGGAGAAAGAACUUUCUGAUGUCCAUGAGUAUACCGUAGAAUAUACCACAUUUAAUUUUCGAACACCAAAGCUAAUGAAACAAAUUAAAUGCAAUGUUGCUAAAAUGUAGAAAUUGUAUUUAUUUUAUAAUGUUUCACUUUUAAUAGAAAUACCUAUUUAAUAAAACUGCAAUAUGUAGAACAUACUGUAUGUAAACAAACAGGCUAUACCUCUCUGUCCCUUUCACAAGACCAGCAUAUUUUUUCUUGUUGAUAUAGUUAAGCAGAGUCUUUAGGUGAAAUAAGGAAUAAAUUUAACUUAGUGGUGCUUCUGCUAACUUUUGUGUGUUAUUUUUAGUAUAAACUGGGUAAUUUGGAGUUACUAUUCAGCUUAGUAUACAAGUCUUUCAGAAGUGGGAGGAAAACUAGAGGAGCUGAACAAAACCCAGAUAGAGAAAUGAAGAGAACAUGCAAACACCUCACCAAUGACACCUGGGAAUGGGAUUCAGACCUACUAGUCUGGAGCUAUGAUAGAAAAGGGCAAGCCACUCUCCAGCACUGGCUGCCAUAUUGUUUAUUUUAAUGUCUUUCAAUAAAAAUGUA